rnacentral:sRNA from 1 species
CUUUCAUUUGUCACUGUGUUUCUCAAAUAUUUCAUUGUGUUCCUUUCUUGUUUCUUCCAUUUCCACCUUCUCCUUGCUAUUUAUAUCCUCAAUUCCACCGUGGCUACAAUUUGACCUUUCCCCAUCGUUGGGUUGAACUUUAGUAAGUUCAUUGGUCAUCUUUCUCAUUUUAGCAAUUUUGAUUGUUUAGUAUUCUUCAUCUCUCACACCUUCUCUCGGUCAUGGGUUGCCCUAGUACAAGUUGCUUUAUUUUCUCAAACGUGUUGCUCCAUUCAUCUCCACAAUUGUGGUUCUGAACAAAGGUUGUUUGCUGGAGAUGUGAUCCUUAAGGUUAAUGGUAGUGAGUUUGCUAAACCAGGUCCUAAUGCAGUUUCUGAAGUUGUCUUAGCCAAUGUAAUACCUAUACAGGAGGC